GACCCAUGCUGUCCCAUUGAUGUUUCUACGCAAUGUUCCCCACUCUGUGCCCCUCUGUCCCCAUAACAUCCCACACAGUUUUCCUUAUGCUGUCCCCAUGCUGUCCGCAUGACAUCUCCUAUUUCAAGUUGUCCUGAUGUCCCGUACUGCUUUCCCUAGUGUCCCCACCAUGCCUCCGUGAUGUUGCAUUUGCUUUCCCAGUCCUCUCCCCGUUAUGUCUGCCACCACCUUCAUGAUAACUCAUGCUGUCUUUUCAGACUGUCCCCACACUGUCCCUAUGUUGUUUUCCCCAUGCUAUCAGCACAUCAUUCCCAUGCUGUACCUGCACUGUCCCCAAAUCUAUCCAAAUGUUGUCCUCAAACCUGUCGCUCCCUUGUCUCCACCCUAGUCUGCUCUAUCCUCACCCUGUCCCCAUGGUCCCACUGGCUGUGGUGGCAUCCCAUGGUGCUCACCCGCUGUUCCUACAGGGUCACACCUUCCUCAGACCACCUUCCUCACACCUUCCUCGCUGCCCUCUGACCUUGUGGUUCAGUGACACUGUGCUCCCACCCUCCCUGCGCUGGAGGACUCAUGGAUAGCAGGUACGCCCAACCACACCAGCAUGGACAUGUGCCACACCCACAGCUGCCACCAUGAUGCUGACUGAGGCAAACAAGGGACACAGCUUCUCUCCCCGGGACAUCCCUGCCUGCAUGAGCAGGGUGGUCACCCAGGAGGAGGCAGCUCCCAGCAUUGUCCGUGUCCAUCUAGAUGGAGACCAGCCUUGGAUCUAACCGAGUCCACACCAGUCUCCCCAGCACAGGGCAUCUCUGAGAGAGGGACCCUGUGUACUGUUGUUGAUCCUCAGGGCCCACAUUACAGACUGCUGGAUCCAACCCAUAGGGACCGCCUACCCAGUUCUCUAUACACUGGUGAUAAAGAGCUGGACCCAAGACACUACCACCUUCCACAGUGGACCCAGCACCACUCCUAGGAGACACUCAAUGGAGGGUCUGGGCCACACAGUGACUGUAGAACCCCAGCAGGAGCAGGAAAGGGUGACUGCCACCAUCCAUGCUUCAGGAGUGGUCUAGUGGGCUGGCCCCAGGCAGGCCAGACACAGCCUUCUGGGUCUCAGGGACAGAGGAGGCCCAAGAGCACCUGUCCCAACAAAGGGACAGAUGGACAGCUGCUGAAAGCACCAAGGCUCGACCAGGCCUGUCCUGCAGGACCAGUGUCCACUCCAGAGCACUUAAACCAGGAAACCCCAGCUGGACAAGAUACCACAGAGAGAGCCCAGUGGCCCAGGAGCCAGGGCUGGGCUGGCACUGGACAGAGGACCCGUGUGCCAUGGUCCUGUCCAGCAUGGGGAAGAUUCCAAGCCAGAGCCUCCAGUCAGGAAGAAUGACACAAGCAGGAAAGGAAACCAGACACCACUCCAUGCUGCGGGAAAAGCCCAGGGAAUAGCUCAGUUCAGCUUUGUAGCUUUCUUCUUCUUGUAGUGUUCUGGAGCCUCUGAUAUCCUGUAAGUUCUCUCUUAAUGACAAUAAAACGUCCUUUAAAC
rnacentral:lncRNA from 1 species